rnacentral:tRNA from 1 species
AAGAGGGUUACUCAGAUGGUUUGAGUGUGGUGCUAAUGACGCUAAGGUUGUGGGUUCAAAACCCCAUAAAGGCCUUUCG